UACAGAGACUGCGAGCGUUAUUCGGAUUCAUUGGGCGUAAAGGGCGCGUAGGCGGCUUCAUAAGUCUUGGGUGAAAGCCCCUCGGCUCAACCGAGGAAUUGCCUUGGAUACUGUGGAGCUCGAGGCUGGAAGAGGGCAGUGGAAUUCCUGGUGUAGCGGUGAAAUGCGCCAGAUAUCAGGAGGAACACCAAUGGCGAAGGCAGCUCGCUGGGACGUGACUGACGCUGAGACGCGAAAGCGUG
rnacentral:rRNA from 1 species